CCCCCUUUAAAAGCACUUGAUGGGUCCUUUACUAGUGACUCAUUGAGCCGUCAAGAAGGGGCAGAGUAAAAACACCGCUUUUGGGUGAAGUGGCAGCAUGUUGUGUUGUUUUGCUUCAAUCGGUGGUGUGACAGCG
ensembl:snoRNA SNORA21 small nucleolar RNA, H/ACA box 21